GGCGGAAUGCUUUACACAUGCAAGUCGAACGGCAGCACGGGAGCUUGCUCCUGGAGGCGAGUGGCGAACGGGUGAGUAACAUAUCGGAACGUACCUAGUAAUGGGGGAUAACUACUCGAAAGAUUAGCUAAUACCGCAUACGCCCUGAGGGGGAAAGCGGGGGAUCGUAAGACCUCGCGUUAUUAGAGCCGCCGAUAUCUGAUUAGCUAGUUGGUGGGGUAAAAGCCUACCAAGGCGACGAUCAGUAGCUGGUCUGAGAGGACGACCAGCCACACUGGAACUGAGACACGGUCCAGACCCCUACGGGAGGCAGCAGUGGGGAAUUUUGGACAAUAGGCGCAAGCCUGAUCCAGCCAUUCCGCGUGAGUGAAGAAGGCCUUCGGGUUGUAAAGCUCUUUCGCAAGGUAAGAAACGAUGCAGUCGAAUAAACUGCGUUAAUGACGGCACCUUGAUAAGAAGCACCGGCUAACUACGUUCCAGCAGCCGCGGUAAUACGUAGGGUGCGAGCGUUAAUAGGAAUUACUGGGCGUAAAGCGUGCGCAGGCGGUUUUGUAAGUCAGAUGUGAAAUCCCCGGGCUCAACCUGGGAACUGCGUUUGAAACUACAACGCUAGAGUGUAGCAGAGGGGGGUAGAAUUCCACGUGUUGCAGUGAAAUGCGUAGAGAUGUGGAGGAAUACCAAUGGCGAAAGCAGCCCCCUGGGUUAACACUCACGCUCAUGCACGAAAGCGUGGGGAGCAAACAGGAUUAGAUACCCUGGUAGUCCACGCCCUGAACGAUGUCUACUAGUUGUUGGUGGAGUAAAAUCCAUUAGUAACGCAGCUAACGCGUGAACUAGACCGCCUGGGGAGUACGGUCGCAUGAUUAAAAC
rnacentral:rRNA from 1 species